CAUUGCGCGACGGCCAGGUGUCCUGGGCAUGGCCAAGCGAGAUGGUCUGGAACAUAAGGCAGAGCGCCGCGAACGCGGCGACAGCAAAACGCAUGGUCGUUCUCCCUGAGUGCGCGCUCAUGACGCCGGUUANNNNNNNCCUGACCGCGCUUGUUUUUGUGCCGCCAUUUCCGCACAGGCCGCGCGCAAGCGCAAUGGCG
rnacentral:misc_RNA from 1 species